AACGAACGCUGGCGGCAUGCCUAACACAUGCAAGUCGAACGAGACCUUCGGGUCUAGUGGCGCACGGGUGCGUAACGCGUGGGAACCUGCCCUUAGGUUCGGAAUAACUCCCCGAAAGGGGUGCUAAUACCGGAUAAUGUCUUCGGACCAAAGAUUUAUCGCCUUUGGAUGGGCCCGCGUUGGAUUAGCUAGUUGGUAGGGUAAAAGCCUACCAAGGCGACGAUCCAUAGCUGGUCUGAGAGGAUGAUCAGCCACACUGAGACUGGGACGCGGCCCAGACUCCUACGGGAGGCAGCAGUGGGGAAUAUUGGACAAUGGGCGAAAGGCUGAUCCAGCAAUGCCGCGUGAGUGAUGAAGGCCUUAGGGUUGUAAAGCUCUUUUACCCGGGAUGAUAAUGACAGUACCGGGAGAAUAAGCUCCGGCUAACUCCGUG
rnacentral:rRNA from 1 species